GAGUUUGAUCUUGGCUCAGAACGAACGCUGGCGGCAUGCCUAACACAUGCAAGUCGAACGGGAUCCAGGCUUCGGCCUGGUGAGAGUGGCGGACGGGUGAGUAACGCGUGGGAACCUGCCCAAUGGUCUGGGAUAACCGCGGGAAACUGCGGCUAAUACCGGAUAAGCCCGAGAGGGGAAAGAUUUAUCGCCGAUGGAGGGGCCCGCGUCCGAUUAGGUAGUUGGUGAGGUAACGGCUCACCAAGCCGACGAUC
rnacentral:rRNA from 1 species